ACUUCCAGAUUCACACCUGACCGCCGUAAAGCUUAAAAGCUUCCCAUUUUGAAUUCUACAGUACUUCUGAAAUUUGUUGAGCCUUCUUGAAAUUUGAAUCUCGCAUCAUGUGUUUUGAUGCCGUGGGGAUGGAGGAGCGUCUCGGAAAUCUUUGAAACCCAUUUCCAGAUCCACCAAAUUAUGUCUAGGUUUUCAAAUUUUCUUUACCACUGAAGAUUUGUGUUCUUGGUGGGCGGCGAGUGAGAUGGAGUUCACCGAGACGUAUAAGCAGACCGGACCAUGUGCAUUUUCGCCAAAUGCGAGGUUUUUAGCUGUCGCUGUAGAUUAUCGCCUGGUCAUUCGCGAUGUUCUCACAUUCAAGGUAGUACAAUUGUUCUCGUGCUUGGACAAAAUAACUUACAUUGAAUGGGCUCUUGAUUCUGAGUACAUUCUAUGUGGCCUAUUAAAGAAGUCAAUGAUACAAGCAUGGUCGUUGGCACAGCCAGAAUGGACAUGCAAGAUAGACGAGGGUCCUGCCGGUAUUUCCUAUGCCAGGUGGAGUCCUGAUAGUCGGCACAUACUGACUACUUCUGAGUUUCAACUGCGGCUUACGGUCUGGUCAUUGUUGAACACCGCAUGCAUACAUGUGCAAUGGCCAAAGCAUGGUUCUAAGGGAGUGUCAUUCUCAAAAGAUGGAAAGUUUGCAGCAAUUUGCACCCGACGUGAUUGCAAAGAUCAUGUUAAUCUGCUUUCUUGUUAUACUUGGGAGAUUUUGAAUGUUUUUGCUGUUGACACAUUGGAUUUGGCUGACAUACAGUGGUCUCCUGAUGAUAGUGCCAUUGUCAUCUGGGAUUCGCCUCUUGAAUAUAAGGUUCUGAUUUAUUCUCCAGAUGGUCGGUGUUUAUCCAAGUAUCAAGCAUACGAAAGUGGAUUGGGAGUCAAGAGCGUUUCUUGGUCUCCCUCUAGCCAGUUCUUAGCUGUGGGGAGCUACGACCAAAUGAUACGGGUGUUGAAUCACUUGACAUGGAAAGUUUUUGCUGAAUUUAUGCAUCUGUCAACAGUACGUGGUCCUUGCGCCGCGGCUGUUUUUAAGGAAGUAGAUGAGCCUUUGCAACUCGACAUGUCGGACCUGUCACUAAGUGACGAAUUUGUUCAAAGAAAUGCCGAUAAUGCUGCUGAGACAUACAUUCAAGUUAGAUACGAUGUUAUGGAAGUUCCGAUUACACUUCCUUCACAAAAGCCGCCAGCAGACAAACCAAACCCCAAACAAGGGAUUGGUCUUAUGUCGUGGAGCAGCGACAGCCAGUAUAUCUGCACGCGCAACGACAGCAUGCCAACAGUCCUCUGGAUAUGGGACGUCCAGCGUCUCGAGCUCUCCGCGAUUUUGAUACAGAAAGAUUCCAUCCGAGCUGCUGCUUGGGAUCCCAACGGUCCGCGCCUGGUGCUGUGCACCGGAAGCAAUAACUUAUACAUGUGGACACCUGCAGGCGCCUACUGCAUAAAUGUCCCCUUCCCUAACCUCUCUGUUCUCGAUCUGAAAUGGAAUUCGGACGGGAGCUGUCUUCUUAUCAAAGACAAGGAGUUCUUCUGCUGCGCCGCUGUUCCCUUAUUGCAGGAAUCCAGCGAUUACAGCUCCGAUGAUUGAGGUAUGUUCGAACUUUCUUUGCCUACAAUGCUAAGUCAUAAAAUGUGUUCUGAAAAUCGCAGUCUUUUUUAUUCGAAUGAGGCGAACCAGCAGUGUGGGAAAGGCUUCGACCUGCGUUCGUGUGUGUAAAUCAUUUGGAUCAAUGGCAGGCAACGGAACGGAACGGAACGACGGUAAUGUGUCUCAACGGAUGCGAUAUAUCAACUCCUCCGGCGUGCUCUACAAACUCCGCCGGCGUGAAGAACCUUCGAUGGCACACACACAUGAUGAUAACCUCGGUGUUGAUGUACUUGUACA